rnacentral:rRNA from 1 species
AUUGAACGCUGGCGGAAUGCUUUACACAUGCAAGUCGAACGGCAGCACGGACUUCGGUCUGGUGGCGAGUGGCGAACGGGUGAGUAAUGUAUCGGAACGUGCCCAGUCGUGGGGGAUAACGUAGUGAAAAUUACGCUAAUACCGCAUACGAUCUAUGGAUGAAAGCGGGGGAUCGCAAGACCUCGCGCGAUUGGAGCGGCCGACAUCAGAUUAGGUAGUUGGUGGGGUAAAGGCCCACCAAGCCAACGAUCUGUAGCUGGGCUGAGAGGACGACCAGCAAAACUGGAACUGGGACACGGGCCAGACUCCUACGGGAGGCAGCAGUGGGGAAUUUUGGACAAUGGGCGAAAGCCUGAUCCAGCCAUUCCGCGUGCAGGAUGAAGGCCCUCGGGUUGUAAACUGCUUUUGUACAGAACGAAAAGGUUUCUACUAAUACUAGGAGCUCAUGACGGUACUGUAAGAAUAAGCACCGGCUAACUACGUGCCAGCAGCCGCGGUAA